UCCUGAGAGAGGUGCAAGACUUGGAGGAGUGCAUAGUAACAUGGGAAGCCACUGAGUUUUUCACUUAGGAUUCUCUUCACUUUCUAUCUCUAAAGGAAGUAGUUUAAGACUUAUUCAUGUAUUUUUGUGUGUGUGCAUGUAUAUAUGUUUGCUUGUAUGUUUGCUAAGGAUCCAGAAAGAGACCUAAUUUAAAAGAAACAAACAACUACUACAUUGGCUUUCCUCAGAAACUAUGAAGAAAAACAAAUUAAUUAUCCAAAUAGAUGUCUUUUGCUGAUGGAUGGCGAUAUUUGAACAUGAACACCUACCAUCCAUGAAACAUCUUGGAAGAUGGAAGAGAAUAAGAACUGGACCCCGCCCUCAAGGAAACUAUGAUCAGGCAACCAGUAUUAUUUGAUGGAUGUACUGGAGGGGAGACAUGAGUCUUUGAGUGCCUUCCAUGCUUUCAGAAGCUUCUGAGAACCGCAGCCAUAGCAGCACCUGGCAUGUACAUUCCAGGUUUGUGUUAUGUGAUCAUGCCACCCUGCACAUGAAUAAUUGGAUCAAGGCUACAGGCACCUGUCUAUUGGCUGAGCAGACCACUAGCCAUGAAAUGGCCUCACCUGAUAGCUCUUCCCAGUGCAGGGGCUCCAUAUUGGGUGAUGACUAAGUGAGUGAGUCAGACCCUCCCAUUCAUGUUUUGAAUUUGAGACACACAAAUGACAGUAGAAAGACACUGAGAGAUCAGCAGAGGCUGAGAG